UACGGGGGGGCAAGCGUUGUUCGGAAUUACUGGGCGUAAAGGGCUCGUAGGCGGCCAACUAAGUCGGACGUGAAAUCCCUCGGCUUAACCGGGGAACUGCGUCCGAUACUGGAUGGCUUGAGUUCGGGAGAGGGAUGCGGAAUUCCAGGUGUAGCGGUGAAAUGCGUAGAUAUCGGGAGGAACACCAGUGGCGAAGGCGGCUAGCUGGGCUUCAACUGACGCUGAGGCGCGAAGGCUAGGGGAGCGAACAGG
rnacentral:rRNA from 1 species